rnacentral:lncRNA from 1 species
UUUUCAUUUUAUAGUUUCUCCCCUAACCUAUCACUUUUGAAGUUGCUGCCCUGGCUUCAGAACCUAUGAGUGUGGAGUAAAGCCCCACCUACACCUGCACAGAGCUCGGGCUCCCCUCCUCACUCAUAUGCUCUGUGGUCACUGUCCUCUUCGUCUCUAGGUCCCAGCAGACCAGGAGCACAGAUGGGUCAGCCUACUCAGUUCUCCACUGGGCUCCCUGUUCUCAGAAUGGUCUGUGUGUGGAGAAGACUCCUAAGUGCCUGGGAAUAGGUGGGCUGUGGGUGAAGCGGAUGAAGGCGAUACAGAGCGAGGACGUGGCCUG